ACUCGGAGGUUCGCCUCCAGCUUGCGCAUCAUCUGCGGCCGGGUCCCGAUGAGCCUCCUGUUGCCUCCGCUGGCGCUGCUGCUGCUUCUCGCGGCGCUUGUGGCCCCAGCCACAGCCGCCACUGCCUACCGGCCGGACUGGAACCGUCUGAGCGGCCUAACCCGCGCCCGGGUAGAGGGUCCAGCAUUUCCUUCAGACCUUGGGAACUGCUGAUCCGGGGAUAACUCACAGCCCGACCCAACUCAGGGAUAAGGAAGUAUGGCUUUGGGGAUGUGACUGGAAUAAACGUGAAGGACUCCUGACCUAUCCCAUUUUAUCCCCCUCCAGACCUGCGGGGGAUGACAGCUGAACCGCCUAAAGGAGGUGAAGGCUUUCGUCACGCAGGACAUUCCAUUCUAUCACAACCUGGUGAUGAAACACCUCCCUGGGGCCGACCCUGAGCUCGUGCUGCUGGGCCGCCGCUACGAGGAACUAGAGCGCAUCCCACUCAGUGAAAUGACCCGCGAAGAGAUCAAUGCGCUAGUGCAGGAGCUCGGCUUCUACCGCAAGGCGGCGCCCGACGCGCAGGUGCCCCCCGAGUACGUGUGGGCGCCCGCGAAGCCCCC
rnacentral:lncRNA from 1 species